rfam:Lupinus angustifolius cultivar Tanjil contig_40803, whole genome shotgun sequence.
GGCAUUGUAGUUCAAUCGGUCAGAGCAUCGCCUUGUCAAGGUGAAAAUUGCAAGUUUGAGCCCAGUCAAUUCCA